GAUGAAGAACGCAGCGAAAUGCGAUAAGUAAUGUGAAUUGCAGAAUUCAGUGAAUCAUCGAAUCUUUGAACGCACAUUGCGCCCGCCAGCAUUCUGGCGGGCAUGCCUGUUCGAGCGUCAUUUCAACCCUCAGGCCCCGCCUGGCGUUGGGGAUCGGCGCGGCCCUCUCCGGGCUGCCGGCCCCGAAAACUAGUGGCGGUCUCGCUGUAGUCCUCCUCUGCGCAGUAGCAACGCUCGCACUGGAACUCGGCGCGGCCACGCCGUAAAACACCCCACUUCUGAAAGUUGACCUCGGAUCAGGUAGGAAUACCCGCUGAACUUAAGCAUAUCAAUAAGCGGAGGA
rnacentral:misc_RNA from 1 species